CAAUAGCGUAUAUUAAAGUUGUUGCAGUUAAAAAGCUCGUAGUUGGAUUUCUGGGAGGGUGCUAAUGUCCGCCGUAGCGCGUGUGCAGCAGCGCCCUUCCAUCCUUCUGUUAACGCCUCUUGGCAUUUGUUUGCUGGUGGCGGGCUCAGAUAUUUUACCUUGAAAAAUUAGAGUGUUCAAAGCAGGCAAACGCUUGAAUACAUUAGCAUGGAAUAAUAGAAUAGGACUUUGGUUCUAUUUUGUUGGUUUCUAGGACCGAAGUAAUGAUUAAUAGGGACAGUUGGGGGCAUUAGUAUUUAAUUGUCAGAGGUGAAAUUCUUGGAUUUAUGAAAGACUAACUACUGCGAAAGCAUUUGCCAAGGAUGUUUUCAUUAAUCAAGAACGAAAGUUAGGGGAUCGAAGAUGAUCAGAUACCAU
rnacentral:rRNA from 1 species